UUGCAAUAAUGCAAGCAUCUUGCUGAAUUAGAUCUUGAAGUGCAUACACAUGAGCUUUUUAACUCUGAGCAAU